GCGGGGUAUGAGCCGCGCGAGCCGCCGUAGUCAGCUGCUGCGAGCAGGAAGUGUCCGAGGAGCGGGUGGAGACUGCAGGAUGGCCCCGGACCCCUGGUUCUCCACCUACGAUUCUACUUGCCAAAUUGCACAAGAGAUUGCUGAGAAAAUUCAACAGAGAAAUCAGUAUGAAAGAAAUGGUGAAAACACAACGAAGCUUACCGUGACAAUCAGAGCUUUGUUGCAGAAUCUGAAGGAAAAGAUCGCCCUUUUGAAGGACUUAUUGCUAAGAGCUGUGUCAACACGUCAGAUAACACAGCUUGAAGGAGACCGAAGACAGAACCUGUUGGAUGACCUUGUAACUCGAGAGAGACUACUUCUGGCAUCCUUUAAGAACGAGGGUGCAGAACCAGAUCUCAUCAGGUCCAGCCUGAUGACUGGAGGGGCUAAGCGAGGAGUACCCAACCCUUGGCUCUUCGAGGAGCCAGAGGAGACCAGAGGCCUGGGUUUUGAUGAAAUCCGGCAGCAGCAGCAGAAAAUCAUCCAAGAACAGGACGCGGGCCUUGAUGCCCUUUCCUCCAUCAUAAGUCGCCAGAAACAGAUGGGGCAGGAAAUUGGGAAUGAGCUGGAUGAACAAAAUGAAAUAAUUGAUGACCUUGCCAACCUGGUGGAGAAUACAGAUGAGAAACUCCGCACUGAGACCAGGCGUGUCAAUAUGGUGGACAGAAAGUCAACAUCUUGCGCUUCUCUCACCUGGUGUCCACUUGGCUGUGCUCUGCUUGCCUUUGACUUCAGCCAGCGUCUCGCCCAGCACAGCUGCCCUUCCUGUGGCUAAUCACCGAAACGGAUGCUGCCAGAUGUUCCACUCUGAACUUCCAGCCUCGCCUGGACGCCCGUCAUCUCCGCGGGGCCUCGGCUAGAGCUGGGCUCUCCGUUUCUAAACUAAAUGCCACCCAGGUGUUCCUCUGGUUUUGCACCUCUUCCUUCUCUUGUGGAGUGAAUGAUGUUUCAUUUCUGUUGUUCAACUGAGAGGCCAGCUCUCUCACAGGAUGCUUAUGGCGCAUCUGCUGUACACAAGGCACCAUUCUUAGGCAGAGGGUUAUAUAAGGAGCAAAAAUUAUUGUCAUCAUAGCUGCCAUUUAGGGAGUGCCAGGUAUGUUCUAGAAGUUUUAUGCACUUCAUCUUACUGAAUCCUCACAGCAAGCCUAUGAAAUCGGAAUUGGCAGGUUUGAAGUCAAGUGUCCCUGACCCCCCAAACCAGCGCCCUGCCACCACGUCAGACUCUGUGGUCCCUGUUGUCGGAAAUCCUGUGACUUAAGGAAAGAAAUAGUAAUAAAUAAGAGAAGAAUUGACAGAUGAAGGACAGUCGUUUGAGAGCAUUGACCUGGCUGUAGAUGCUUCUCGGACUCCAGGGGACGCGCGGUCUGGUGGACUGAGCAGUCUUCCUGGAGGAGGUGGAGGCCCGGCCGAGCAGUCAGCAGCUGGGUCCUGGGGUCGGGUGAGGAAGGGACGAGGGUGUAAGCAGGCGGGGAGAGAGGCUGGAAGGUCUGUUGAGGAGGCCGGGGAGCCCGCUGGCACUGCAGAGGGAGGUUCACCCACCAACAGGGCCACGAGAGCCUGGAGGGACGGGCUGAUGCCUGAGGAGAGCAGACCGAACUCAGCACAUCAGUGAAGACUUUGGCUUUGCUCAGUGUGUGAAGGAGAGCACAGGGCGGGGAGAGUGAAAUGUGGGACCGUGGGGGACAGAGGUUCAAGAGGGGAGAGGGCAGAGGCCGUAGGCGCCCUCUCCCACCACCCCCACCACUCGGGCAGACCCAAGCCCCCAGGACGGCCUCCCCUACCUGCUGAGCUUCUGGGCUGGUUGGAAGAGGGCAGCCCCCACCCACACGCUGCGGCCACGAGCAGGGCACACAGGGCAGCCUAGGCCGAGGGGUGACCUCCAGGGCACCCGCAGCUCCCCAGCCGUUCAGUCUGAGAUCACAAUGUCAAUAAGUUCACCUUCUCUGCGUGGCAGCUCCCCUUUUCUUAGCUUAUUUGCCCAGUAAUGGGAUUAAAGGGAACAUUUACAUGAACUUUUGAAAACAAAUAUUCCGGUUUUGUCUUUUCUCUUGCUUAUUCCCCACCUCAGCUCAGGAGUCUGCUGCGAAAAUUCUGUUUGAUUAGUGAGAACCAACUGGCUAAUACAUAAGCAAAUGUCACCCACUGAUGGGCUGGAGAAAAGCCCCCAGACCUGCAGCCUUUCGUAAAUGUCCUCUGGAUCUUUCGAGGUUGUUAGCUGUGGAAGGGGUGUUUCUUAGCCCUAACUCUUCCAGGGUGAAGAACAAGGCAGAGAGUAAGGGAUUAUAUAUUUUGGUUUAAAACAACCAACAAUAACAGGCAGCCAGUGUGGCUUUCCUGUGAUAAACAAAACCAAAUAAAAGGACUUCCAGAUAAAAUUGCCCUUCAUAUCCCCCUGCCUCCUGCCCCCUCACUGCUCCGUGCCCCCUGCUCUCCCACCAUGCUUGUCUCCACCUUUCCCCGCAGCUGGGGGGAGAGGGCAGGUCCGGGGGUCUGCGCUCCCUCUCACGGACUCCGCACUCUCCUCGUCCCCCUCCUUGUCAGCAAGAGCUCGGUGCUGUUACCUGGCUCAGCUGUGGCAGGGGUGUUGGCAGCACAGCCUCCGUAAUUUGCAGGUUUCCAGUGUUUCACUGGAAAAAAACAUGGACCAUUAAUCCAGAUGAACAAUCUUCAGAAAACACAACACUGUUCUGAGAGGCCGUGUUUCAUAUCCUUUCCCAGUUUGAAAAGGAGUUUGUUUUCUUACAUCUUUUUUUAAUUGCCAUGAGCUGGACUUGUAAAUAUUGUAAGUGGGUGAGUAAUACUCAUCUGGUAAACUGACCAAAGGAAAUGGACCUUUUUUUCCACUCUUGUAACUCUGGCAUCCCCUGCCUGCCCUGAAAGGGGCACUGGGCACUGGGAGGAAACGGCCUUGCCAGGUGCCAGCAGUGCCAGGCGCGGAGCCGAGUGAGGCGCGGAGGAAAUGAUCCCGUUGUCAGGAGCCGCGCCAGGUGUUUUUGCGCUAGGGUUGGGGGCAAAGAGCAUUCAUUGUUUAAGAAGUUGGCAGGUCCCCAGAAGUUCAACUGUCUUUCCUCGUUCUGAAAUGUCAAACAUUUCCUCAGCUGGGGGAUGGAUGACUAGCCCCCCUGAGGUUGGAGCACUACUCUGAGGCAAGAGAAAGAGGUUCUCUCUCACACGUGCCUGAACACUGUGCAGAUUCUCCCCGUGGCCAUCCGGCGGGAUGGUCUCCUGCGUCCUCUAGCUGGGACCACUUUCCUGCAUCUGGAGUGUCGGAGGGUCUUUACUGCCCCCGUCUUUAAGAAAUAGCACAGCUUCUGUGUGGUGGUGGGCUUUUUUUAAUGAUGCCUUAUCUUUUAGUGAUACUUACUGAAGUAUUUGCAGAUGAAAUAUGUCUGGGAUUCAUUUCAAAAUAAUACACUGGGGACAGGGAGCAGGUGAGGGUAGCGAUAAAAGCAGGUUAGCCAUGAAUCGAUCCUUGUUAAAGCUGAGUGAUGGGUUCAUUGCAGGUCACUACAGUAUUUUGUCUACUGUUGUAUUUGUUUAAAUUUUUCCACCAUAAAAAGGUAAAAGAAGGAGAAAGGGAGGAGAAGAAGAAAAAAAGAGAGAAGAAGCUCUUUAUCCCAGUUUUUUAGCCCAAAGUCUGGGCCUUUCUCCCUGAUAAACCCCACGCUGUCAGGAGUCAGGAUCCCCCCAGACGGGCCCCCUGGUGCAGAGGGAGGUUGAGUCUGGGCCAAGGGGUUGGUCCCACCUGGAUUCCAUUUCCAGCUCUUCCUCUUACCAGUCGUAGGGCUUCGGGAAGAGAGUCAGCCUUCGGGACCCUCAGCUUCUUUGUCGAUGAAGUGGAGUCGAGAGUUCUCUAUAGCUGAGAAUUAAGCGAGGCGAUUCACCCACUGCAGUCAGUACAGAACCUGGCGUGCGUGAAUGUUCCAUGUAUGGCAUGGCUUAGCUCCCUUGCUUUAAAAAGGCCCUUGGUUACUCUUUCCACAAUGUCCUUCAGAGGAGAGAAGGAUGCCAGCGCUGCCAUCACAUUCCAGGAAAGCCGGGCUUCGUAAAGAGAAAGGCUCACAGCGAUAAGCAGCAAAUACCUUCUCUUUGACGAAAAGAGUCCAAAAGGCUGCAGCUGGCUCUUGCUUAUCACCGUCACUUGCCAUCUUAAAAUGACUUCCUUGCUUGACCCUUAGGUGCACACCAGUUUACUUAAACCUGUUGAAAAUUUCCUCCCCAUAGGAACCCUGUUUGAAAUGUAAAAGUCUUACUUGUCGUUGCUCUCGACGUACCCCUUUUCAUCUUUGGACAAGCACCCAGUUUAUCACAUAUUAUCGAGUUAGUACCUGUGCUGUCAGGAGCUGAAGUGCAUCUGCGUCUUUCACGGGUAUUGCGUACCCUGUCAUUCCUUUACUAUGGCCCAAUUUGUAUAAUUCAGUUUCUGUAGUAGAAUGAUUAGCAGCUUAAAGAGGAACCAGGUAUUAAUACAGUCCCAACAGGCACCCCCGCCCUUCUGCGGACACAGUAAAGGUCUCCAGAGCCAGGAGCUUCUCCCUGUCCUCCUGGUGCCUCCCAGUGUUUGUAGACUACUGUUAACCACCUUUUGAAUUUUCUCUUUUCUUGGCAUCCUUGACACAUUUUCUCAGCUUCUCUCUCCCUGUUGACUGUUCCUUCUGUUUCUUUUGUAUUGGCUCUUCUUGUCCCUCCCGGACAUUCAAUACAUUUAUUCAUUUAUAUACAAAAGGAUGUGUUGUGCCUCUUUUGUGAGCAGGCUCUGGUCCAGGUACCAGGGACAUGGUGGGGAACGAGGCAGGCAGAGUCCGUAUCGUAGGUGCUCAUGUGCCAGGGCGGAGACAGAGGGUAACUAGCUGAGGACCUAAAUCAUGAUUUAAGAAGGGUCACUACAGAGACCCAGAGGGGACAGUGAGAGCACAGUCAAUCUGAGGUCAAGAAGGAAGUGACACAUGCUGAGUUUUGGAGGGCGAGUAGGGAUUAACUAGGCCAAGAGCGGGCAGUGCUCUCCGGGCAGAGAAAGGACAGCAUGUGUAAAGGCCAGGAGGCAGGAAGGAGCGGGGAUUGUUGGAGGAACCAAAGGCCAGGAUGGCUGGAGCACAGGUCCAGAGUGUGGCUUCAGGGGCAGGGGCCAGACUGCACAGAACCUUCUAGGCCACCAUGAAGAGUUCGGGUUUCACUUUAAGCCAUCAGACAGCUUUAAGCCCAGAAGUAACCUGAUCUGCUUUCCAGUCCAGCUCAGUUGUGGAGAGUGGAUUGGGUAAAGUGAGCAGCAGGUCACUCCAGCACAGUGGCCCAAGGAGGAGAUGGUGGUAACUACUGACACCUUGAGGCGUCUUCCCUUGGACUGCAAGCUUCGUGUAAAUAAACUAAACCCGGAUGGCUGGUUUCUUCUUCCCAGCCGGUUAUUGUUCCUGAUUUCUUUGUUCUCAUCCUUGUUCUGCUCUUCUCACAAUCGCCCUGAUUUGAAAAUUCAAGGUCACUUAUUGGCCUCUCCUUUGGGCCAUUGCAGCCUCGGUCUGAAACGCUUGCUGCACAAGGAGCCUCUUGGUCUCAAGUGCUCUCCCAGCUCUGAUCCCGCCUGAGCAUCCGUGAGAGUACUUCCUGAAACACCGCUCAUCAUCUGCCUUCGCUCCUCAGAAACAGCUCCUCCCCGUCUCUCGGGUCAGCCGAGGCUCCGGCCUGGCAGUUGCCCGCGUGCUCUGCCUCAGUCUGUCCGCUUCCUCCAUUGCCAUUAUAUUUCCUGAUAUUGCACAAGGUAAACCUCUCACCCCAGCCAGGAAGUAGUGGGAUUCCUGCCCAGCUGGAGCUUUUGGUCAACCUGAAGAUGCUUCUGGAGGCAGAAAUGAAUAAAAAGGAGAUCUGUUUUCUGGUUCUGGCAAGAAGAUGGACAGAGAUGAUAUUCACUCACACACACCUUAUGACGAGCAUCUCGAAAUGCUAGAUCAAAUGUUACAAAACCCCCUGAAUGUUAAUGCAGAGCUGAGUUUACAAGGAAGAAAGGAAAUCCCCAGAUGAAAGAAAUGGAGAGAGAACUGGCAACCAGAACCUAAGCAAACGAACGGAUGCGGCUGCUGGGGCGUUAUCAGCCGUAGUGAUGUCGAGCAGGGUGGGCAAAAUCCCGUGAAAGGGCCAGACAGGAAAUAGGUUAGGCGUUGCAGACCACAGACGGUGUGUCACAUCUUCUUCUUUUUUGACAACACUGAAAAUAUAAAACACGCUUCUUGGCUCAUGGGUUGUACAAAAAACAGACCACCAGCCAGACUGGGCCUGUGGGCCAGAGUUUGCCCACUCCUGAAGUAGAGCUUGGGUUUAUGUCCACAUGUAGACAGGAGGAAAAAAUCUUAGGUCCCUGAGAGGGGACACUCUCGAAAGAUUGGAUCAUCAGAGAAAGAGGGGGUAUUAGAAAAACUUCACCCACUGUCACAGGGAGAUGACAAAGAAGGUUCCUCAGUAUCUAAAACCAUGGACAGGGUGUGUUUACAUGGGUUGGGUUUAAAAUUUACACUACCUGAAUGAUAUUGAACCCUGGAGAUCUGUGGCUAGAAUUUAGGGAACUUGGAUGGGAAAGCAAAUUGCAUUCUUAUUUUCACUAACCUCUAAUUGAGAUUUAGCGUUUUCUUCAAUUAAGAAAGUAGGCAACAAGCCACAGCGGUAUUGCUCGUACUUGUGACUGUCACCAAUGGAAAUCACAGAUAUAUUCACAUCAAAGUAUAGUGCCUGUAUUAUCUCAGAACUUAAAAAAUAUGUAUUUUGAUAAGCAUACUUCAAUAUAAAUUGGAAAUUUUAAAACAUCUAAAUAAUUAUGGGGACAAAGAAGAAAUUGAUGAACAUUUUUAAAUAUUUAGAAUUUAGAAACUAACAACAAUGAAAUUAUUUCCUAUCAAAACUUGUAGCUUUAGAAGGGUGAUAUUUAGAAGAAAGAUGGAAAAUGAAUGAGCUAACUUUCAAUUCAAGAAGUUAGAGAAAGAACAAGAAAGUAUAUCCAAAGAAAGUCUAUGAAUAGUAUGAUUAAUAAAAAUGUGAAAAUUAAUAAACAGAUGAUCAACAAAGUCAAAACUUGUUCAUGGAAAAGAUUAAUAAAAAGAGGCACACUUGUGGCAAAGCUAGUCAAGAAGAAGAAUGCACAACUAAGUGGCGUUAGCAAUGAAAAGGACACAGAUACAGCAUAGUGUUUAAAUUAUGAGAGAAUAUAAUGAACAGUUUUAUGCCAAUACUUUUGAAUACUCAAAAAAUGGGCAGUUUCCCAGCAAAAUGUAACUUAACAAAACCAACUCAAGAAGAAGGGAAAGCAGAAUUCUUGCUGUGGGAAGCUAUCCAAGUGUAGAGUGAGUGUUGAAAAGACAUUGAACAGCCAUUCAUUCAUUUAUUCAACAAAUAUGUAUUGAGUCUCCACGCCAGGCACUGUCACAGAAGCGGGGGAUGCAGCGGUUAAUAAAAUUAUCGAAACUCCAUACUCUGUGUCACUUCUGUCCAAUGGAACUUUCUAUGAUGAUGGAAAUGUUCUUUAUUGUCUCCAUCCAAUAUGGUAGCCAUUGGCCACAUGUGGCUUUUAAGCACUUGAAAUAUGGUUAGUGCAAGUGAGAAACGGAAUUUUUGACUUUAAUUUUAAUUAAUUGAAAUUUAAAUAGCCUAUCAUGGCCAGCGGUUAUCUAGCUAAUAAGAUCAAUAAUAUGUUAAUGGCUUCCUGUAAGAGAAUAAGUUGGUGAACUCCUGGGACUCUGACUUUUCCUCAAACGGGUCCUCAGUCUGAGGAGGGUAGUCCUCGUGGCCAAACCACCACAGCAUCCUGUGCGUCUGACUCACUUGUUACUUUGGAGGGCAUUUUCACAGGCUUCAUCUCAUCUGCUCCUCACUUCCCUCUCGGGCCUCAGUAGCUCGGGGACCUUGAGUGAGCAAAGGUUUAUUGAGUGCUUCCUUCGUAGCGGCGGUCCGACGGCCAUGGUGAGUGCUCUUUACAUCCGGGUAAGUGGACUAGGAGGCGGUGAACUCGCUGAGUGACGGCCGCCUCGUCAGCGUCAGUGGAAGGAAAGGGCAGCAAUAAGGGAGAUGCGGGAGCUCGGAGGUGGGGCGGGUUGGCCGCAGAGCUGGACGCAGGGAGCAGACCGGCUGCGAGGGCUAGUGCUCUCCUUUGUGUUCCCCAGCCAAGAAUCUGAAGACAUAAAACUCGAAAAUAGUGGUACAAAAACUAUAUAUGAAGAGAAAGUCCCUCUAUUGGCUGUUUGUACAGGGAUGAUUCUGGUGAUUUUAUUGCUGCUCGUGGCUAUUGUGGUCGUCGCAGUCUGGCCUACCAAGUAGUGGCGAUAAAGGGACCCCCAGCCGUGCCCUGCCAAGGAUGGAGAAAGUUCAGUGCCCUUUUGGUACACGAAAGCUGCUCUCAAUAAAUUCCUGCAAAGCUCUGAA